rnacentral:lncRNA from 1 species
AACGCUUCCUUGUCCUCAAACGUCUGUGUCUGGAGCGUCAUCACUGCUUCAUUUCCUAAUAGUGACUCUGAGCGUGGUUUGUUCUUUCUUUUUUUCUUUCUUUCUCUUUCUUUCUUUCUUUCUUUCUUUCUUUCUUUCUUUCUUUCUUUCUUUCUUUCUUUUCUUCUUUCUUUCUUUCCUUUUUCUUCUUUCUUUUUUCUUUCUUUUUCUUUCUUUCUUUUCUUUUCUUUCCCUUUUCUUCUUUCUUCUUCCUUUCCUUUAUCAUCUUUCUUUCUUCCUUUCUUUUUCUUCUUUUUUCUUCUUUCUUUCUUCUCUCUUUUUUUCUUUCUUUCUCUUCUUUCUUUCUUUCUUCUUUCUCUCUUUCCUUUCUCUUCUUUCUUCUUUCUUUCCUUUUUCUUCUUUCUUUCUUUCUUUCUUUCUUUCUCUUUCCCUUUUCUUCUUUCCUUUUUCUUCUUUCUUCUUUCUUUCUUUUUCUUCUUUCUUUCUUUCUUUCCCUUCUUUCUUUCUUCUUUCUUUCCUUUUUGUUUCUUUCUUUCCCUUUUCUUCUUUCUUUUCUUUCCUUUUUCUUCUUUCUUUCUUUCUUCCUUUCUUUUUCUUCUUUUUUCUUCUCUUUCUUCUUUCCUUUUCUUUCUUUCUUUUUCUUCUUCCUUUCUUUUCUUUCUUCUUUCUUUCUUUCUUUCUUCUUUCCUUUUUCUUCUUUCUUCCUUUCUUUUAUUUCUUUUUCUUUCUUUCCUUUUUCUUCUUUCUUUCUUUCCUUUUUUUCUUUCUUUCUUUCUUUCUUUCUUCUUUCUUUCUUUCUUUCUUUCUUUCUUUCUUUCUUUCUUUCCUUCUUUUUCUUUCCUCUCUUCUUUCUUUCCUUUUUCUUCUUUCUUUCUUUCUUUCUUUCUUUCUUUCUUUCUUUCUUUCUUUCUUCUUUUUCUUUCCUCUCUUCUUUCUCUUUCUUUCUUUCUUUCUUUCUUUCUUUCUUUCUUUCUUUCUUUCUUUCUUUCUUUCAAGACAGUGGAUAAAGCAGGACUAAGCUACGGACAGCACUCCCAAGGAGACCAUCCUGCCAACCUUCCUGGCAUGCAACAGGUGGCAGUUACCAAGUGCCCUCCGGCGUCUUCCAGCUUGUGGGGAACCACAAGCAUCGAACCUGCCCACGAGGCCCCCGGGACCCCGAGGUGGGUGGAAGAGAAAAACAAAGACAAGGUCAACACCCAGAUUUGGGCUGAUGCUCUCCGGAGGACAAAAAGGCAGCCACCUCGUGGAUGA